GACAAGAAAUAACAAUACAGGGCUUUCGUCUUGUAAUUGGAAUGAUGGUGAUGUACAACCUCACCAGAGUACCAAUUGGAGGGCAAGUCUGGUGCCAGCAGCCGCGGUAAUUCCAGCUCCAAUAGCGUAUAUUAAACUUGUUGCAGUUAAAAAGCUCGUAGUUGUAUUUCAGCCUCGCGUUUUUUCCCUGGUUUUGGGUCUUUUCGCUGGCUUUUUUUUUACUUUGAGAAAAUUAGAGUGUUUCAAGCAGACUUUUGUCUUGAAUACUUCAGCAUGGAAUAAUAGAGUAGGACCUUGGUUCUAUUUUGUUGGUUUCGAGCCUUGGUAAUGGUUAAUAGGAACGGUUGGGGGCA
rnacentral:rRNA from 1 species